CAGCAGACACAUUCCAGCCAAUCAGCAGCAGACCCUCCCUCCCAGACCCUCUCACCUCCUGAACAGCUCACUAAGAAUGCAGCUUCACAAUGAAUGUAAAAUGGAUGCUGUCCAGGAGGUGGGAGGGUCUGGGAGGGAGGGUCUGCUGCUGAUUGGCUGGAAUGUGUGUGCUG
rnacentral:miRNA from 1 species